rnacentral:rRNA from 1 species
GCUUAGUGGUGGGGUGACUGCGUACCUUUUGUAUAAUGGGUCAGCGACUUAUAUUCUGUAGCAAGGUUAACCGCAUAGGGGAGCCGGAGGGAAACCGAGUCUUAACCGGGCGUUAAGUUGCAGGGUAUAGACCCGAAACCCGGUGAUCUAGCCAUGGGCAGGUUGAAGGUUGGGUAACACUAACUGGAGGACCGAACCGACUAAUGUUGAAAAAUUAGCGGAUGACCUGUGGCUGGGGGUGAAAGGCCAAUCAAACCGGGAGAUAGCUGGUUCUCCCCGAAAGCUAUUUAGGUAGCGCCUCGUGAAUUCAUCUCCGGGGGUAGAGCACUGUUUCGGCCAGGGGGCCAUCCCGGCUUACCAAUCCGAUGCAAACUGCGAAUACCGGAGAAUGUUAUCACGGGAGACACACGGCGGGUGCUAACGUCCGUCGUGAAGAGGGAAACAACCCAGACCGCCAGCUAAGGUCCCAAAGUCAUGGUUAAGUGGGAAACGAUGUGGGAAGGCCCAGACAGCCAGGAUGUUGGCUUAGAAGCAGCCAUCAUUUAAAGAAAGCGUAAUAGCUCACUGGUCGAGUCGGCCUGCGCGGAAGAUGUAACGGGGCUAAACCAU